rnacentral:misc_RNA from 1 species
UGGCUCUAGCAUCGAUGAAGAACGCAGCAAGAUGCGAUACGUAAUGUGAAUUGCAGAUAUAGUGAAUCAUCGAAUUUUUGAACGCACAUUGCACUCCUUGGUAUUCCUUGGAGUAUAUCUGUUUGAGCGCCAUCUUACUCUUACGACUUUGUCUUGUGUUGAACGUUACUCGAUUGGAGUUGUUCUCAAUUUAUUGGCAGUGGUUUCCGACUAGCUGACGCAGUGAAAUGUGGCAGAAUAGGGGGAGCCAAUGGCCUCAAAAUAAACAAAACUGAAGCUUGGCCUCAAAUCAGAUAGGGAUACCCGCUGA